rnacentral:lncRNA from 1 species
CCUCCUUCUCCUCCUCCUCCAAUCCCACCCAUAAGGCCUUCAAUACCAUCCUCUCCCUCCAUAUUGACCUCCAUGAUCUUACUCUCUCACUCUCUCCAUGGUGGCUCCCUCCACCUUCAUCUCUUCCUCACCAAUGAUCCCUUCCAUAUGAGCAAGGAACAUUUUCAUUCAUUGAUAGAAAAAGCUAAUACUAUUUAAUAGCAGGUGAAAUACUGAAUCACAUUAGAAC